AUGGGUAGGGGGAGCGUCGUGUGCCGGGUGAAGCAGCCGCGGAAGCGAGUUGUGGACGGUUCACGAGUGAGAAUGCAGGCAUGAGUAGCGAUACACACGUGAGAAACGUGUGCGCCGAUUGACUAAGGGUUCCUGGGUCAAGCUGAUCUGCCCAGGGUAAGUCGGGACCUAAGGCGAGGCCGACAGGCGUAGUCGAUGGACAACCGGUUGAUAUUCCGGUACCCGCUUUGAAACGCCCAAUACUGAGCCCAUUAAUGCUAAGUCCGUGAAGCCGGCCCGAUCUCUUCGGAGUUGAGGGUAGUGGUGGAGCCGACGAACCAAGGUGGUAGUAGGUAAGCGAUGGGGGUGACGCAGGAAGGUAGUCCAGCCCGGGCGGUGGUUGUCCCGGGGGUAAGGGUGUAGGACGCACGGUAGGCAAAUCCGUCGUGCAUAUGAGUCUGAGACCUGAUGCCGAGCCGAUUGUGGUGAAGUGGAUGAUCCUAUGCUGUCGAGAAAAGCCUCUAGCGAGUUUCAUGGCGGCCCGUACCCUAAACCGACUCAGGUGGUCAGGUAGAGAAUACCGAGGCGUUCGGGUGAACUAUGGUUAAGGAACUCGGCAAAAUGCCCCCCCGUAACUUCGGGAGAAGGGGGGGCCAUCACUGGUGAUCCGAUUUACUCGGUGAGCUGGGGGGGUGGCCGCAGAGACCAGCGAGAAGCGACUGUUUACUAAAAACACAGGUCCGUGCGAAGCCGUAAGGCGAUGUAUACGGACUGACGCCUGCCCGGUGCUGGAACGUUAAGGGGGACCGGUUAGCUGCUCUUCGGGGGGGUGGCGAAGCUGAGAACUUAAGCGCCAGUAAACGGCGGUGGUAACUAUAACCAUCCUAAGGUAGCGAAAUUCCUUGUCGGGUAAGUUCCGACCUGCACGAAUGGCGUAACGACUUCUCGACUGUCUCAACCAUAGGCCCGGUGAAAUUGCACUACGAGUAAAGAUGCUCGUUUCGCGCAGCAGGACGGAAAGACCCCGGGACCUUUACUAUAGUUUGAUAUUGGUGUUCGGUUCGGCUUGUGUAGGAUAGGUGGGAGACUUUGAAGCGGCCACGCCAGUGGUUGUGGAGUCGUCGUUGAAAUACCACUCUGGUCGUGCUGGAUGUCUAACCUGGGUCCGUGAUCCGGAUCAGGGACAGUGUCUGAUGGGUAGUUUAACUGGGGGGGCGGUUGCUCCUAAAGAGUAACGGAGGCGCCCAAAGGUUCCCUCAGCCUGGUUGGCAAUCAGGUGUUGAGUGUAAGUGCACAAGGGAGCUUGACUGUGAGACCGACGGGUCGAGCAGGGACGAAAGUCGGGACUAGUGAUCCGGCAGUGGCUUGUGGAAGCGCUGUCGCUCAACGGAUAAAAGGUACCCCGGGGAUAACAGGCUGAUCUUCCCCCAAGAGUCCAUAUCGACGGGAUGGUUUGGCACCUCGAUGUCGGCUCGUCGCAUCCUGGGGGCUGGAGUCGGUCCCAAGGGUUGGGCUGUUCGCCCAUUAAAGCGGUACGCGAGCUGGGUUUAGAACGUCGUGAGACAGUUCGGUCCCUAUCCGCUGUGCGCGUAGGAAUAUUGAGAAGGGCUGUCCCUAGUACGAGAGGACCGGGACGGACGAACCUCUGGUGUGCCAGUUGUUCUGCCAAGGGCAUGGCUGGUUGGCUACGUUCGGAAAGGAUAACCGCUGAAAGCAUCUAAGCGGGAAGCCUGCUUCGAGAUGAGUAUUCCCACCAACUUGAUUGGUUAAGGCUCCCAGUAGACGACUGGGUUGAUAGGCCAGAUGUGGAAGCCCGGUAACGGGUGGAGCUGACUGGUACUAAUAGGCCGAGGGCUUGUCCUCAGUUG
rnacentral:rRNA from 1 species